GACGAACGCUGGCGGCAAGCCUCACACAUGCAAGUCGAACGGAGUGGCGGACGGGUGAGUAAUGUCUGGGAAACUGCCUGAUGGAGGGGGAUAACUACUGGAAAAGGUAGCUAAUACCGCAUACUAUCAGAUGAGCCUAGGUCGGAUUAGCUAGGUGGUGGGGUAAAGGCCUACCAAGGCGACGAUCCGUAACUGGUCCGAGAGGAUGAUCAGUCCCCCGGGAACUGAGACACGGUCCAGACUCCUACGGGAGGCAGCAGUGGGGAAUAUUGGACAAUGGGUGAAAGCCUGAUCCAGCCAUGCCGCGUGUGUGAAGAAGGUCUUCGGAUUGUAAAGCACUUUAAGUUGGGAGGCGUUACCAACAGAAUAAGCACCGGCUAACUUCGUGCCAGCAGCCGCGGUAAUUC
rnacentral:rRNA from 1 species